rnacentral:lncRNA from 1 species
GGCUAGGGUAAAGUUUAAGUUUUUGGCGUUAGGGUUAAAAUCACUGUCCAAAACCUUUGUAGGAACUCUUUUCCAACCUUUUGGAGUUAGUUAGACCAAAAAAAAAUGAAAAAUGAAAAAAAAAUAUUUGGGGUUUUCGGGCUUCCUGAAUGUAAUACCCGGGUAUUAGAUUUUGAGGCUAGGGUAAGGUUUAAGUUUUUUGGCGUUAGGGUUAAAAUCACUGUCCAAAACCUUUGUAGGAACUCCUUUCAAACCUUUUGGAGUUAGUUAGACCAAAGAAAAUGUAAAAUGAAGAAAAAAAUAUUUGGGGUGUUCAGGCUUCCUGAAGGUAAUACCCGGGUAUUAGAUUUCAAGGCUAGGGUAAGGUUUAAGGUUUUUGGCGUUAGGGUUAAAAUCACUGUCCAAAACCUUUGUAGGAACUCUUUUCCAACCUUUUGGAGUUAGUUAGACCAAAAAAAAAAGGAAAAUGAAAAAAAAUAUUUGGGGUGUUCAGGCUUCCUGAAAGUAAUACGUAUUAGGUUAUGGGGCUAUGGUCAGGUUUAACGUUUUGGCGUUAGGUUUAAAAUCACUGUCCAAAACCUUUGUAGGAACUCUUUUUCAACCUUUUGGAGUUAGUUAGACCAAAAAAAAAAAUGAAAAAUGAAAAAAAAAAUAUUUGGGGUUUACGGGCUUCCUGAAUGUAAUACCCGGGUAUUAGAUUUUAAGGCCAGGGAAAGGUUUAAGUUUUUUGGCGUUAGGGUUAAAAUCACUGUCCAAAACCUUUGUAGGAACUCUUUUCCAACCUUUUGGAGUUAGUUAGACCAAAAAAUAUGAAAAAAGAAAAAAAUAUUAUUGGGGGUUUUCGGGCUCCCUGAAAGUAAUACCCGGGUAUUAGGUUUUGGGGCUAUGGUAAGGUUUAAGUUUUUUGGCGUUAGGGUUAAAAUCACUGUCCAAAACCUUUGUAGGAACUCUUUUCCAACCUUUUGGAGUUAGUUAGACCAAAAAAUAUGAAAAAAGAAAAAAAUAUUAUUGGGGGUUUUCGGGCUUCCUGAAGGUAAUACCCAGGUAUUAGGUUUUGGGACUGGGGAAAGGUUUAAGGUUUUUGGCGUUAGGGUUAAAAUCACUGUCCAAAACCUUUGUAGGAACUCUUUUCCAACCUUUUGGAGUUAGUUAGACCAAAAAAAAAAGAAAAAUGAAAAAAAAAUAUUUGGGGUGUUCAGGCUUCCUGAAAGUAAUACCUGGGUAUUAGGUUUUAGGGCUAUGGUAAGGUUUAAGGUUUUUGGCGUUAGGGUUAAAAUCACUGUCCAAAACCUUUGUAGGAACUCUUUUCCAACCUUUUGGAGUUAGUUAGACCAAAAAAUAUGAAAAAAGAAAAAAAUAUUUGGGGUUUUCGGGCUUCCUGAAGGUAAUACCCAGGUAUUAGGUUUGGGACUGGGGAAAGGUUUAAGGUUUUUGGCGUUAGGGUUAAAAUCACUGUCCAAAACCUUUGUAGGAAAUCUUUUCCAACCUUUUGGAGUUAGUUAGACCAAAAAAAAAAGAAAAAUGAAAAAAAAAUAUUUGGGGUGUUCAGGCUUCCUAAAAGUAAUACCCGGGUAUUAGGUUAUGGGGCUAUGGUAAGGUUUAAGUUUUUUGGCGUUAGGGUUAAAAUCACUGUCCAAAACCUUUGUAGGAACUCUUUUCCAACCUUUUGGAGUUAGUUAGACCAAAAAAAUGAAAAAUGAAAAAAAAAUAUUUGGGGUGUUCGGGCUUCCUGAAGGUAAUACCCGGGUAUUAGAUUUUAAGGCUAGGGUAAGGUUUAAGUUUUUUGGCGUUAGGGUUAAAAUCACUGUCCAAAACCUUUGUAGGAACUCUUUUCCAACCUUUUGGAGUUAGUUAAACCAAAAAAAAAAAAGAAAAAUGAAAAAAUAUAUAUUUGGGGUUUUCGGGCUUCCUGAAUGUAAUACCCGGGUAUUAGAUCUUAAGGCUAGGGUAAGGUUUAAGUUUUUUGGCGUUAGGGUUAAAAUCACUGUCCAAAACCUUUGUAGGAACUCUUUUCCAACCUUUUGGAGUUAGUUAGACCAAAAAAAAAUGAAAAAUUAAAAAAAAAUAUUUGGGGUUUUCGGGGUUCCUGAAUGUAAUACCCGGGUAUUAGAUUUUGAGGCUAGGGUAAGGUUUAAGUUUUUUGGCGUUAGGGUUAAAAUCACUGUCCAAAACCUUUGUAGGAACUCUUUUCCAACCUUUUGGAGUUAGUUAGACCAAAAAAAAUGUAAAAUGAAGAAAAAAAUAUUUGGGGUGUUCGGGCUUCCUGAAGGUAAUACCCGGGUAUUAGAUUUCAAGGCUAGGGUAAGGUUUAAGGUUUUUGGCGUUAGGGUUAAAAUCACUGUCCAAAACCUUUGUAGGAACUCUUUUCCAACCUUUUGGAGUUAGUUAGACCAAAAAAUAUGAAAAAAGAAAAAAAUAUUUUUGGGGGUUUUCGGGCUCCCUGAAAGUAAUACCCGGGUAUUAGAUUUUAAGGCUAGGGUAAGGUUUAAGUUUUUUGGCGUUAGGGUUAAAAUCACUGUCCAAAACCUUUGUAGGAACUCUUUUCCAACCUUUUGGAGUUAGUUAAACCAAAAAAAAAAAAGAAAAAUGAAAAAAUAUAUAUUUGGGGUUUUCGGGCUUCCUGAAUGUAAUACCCGGGUAUUAGAUUUUAAGGCUAGGGUAAGGUUUAAGUUUUUUGGCGUUAGGGUUAAAAUCACUGUCCAAAACCUUUGUAGGAACUCUUUUCCAACCUUUUGGAGUUAGUUAGACCAAAAAAUAUGAAAAAAGAAAAAAAUAUUAUUGGGGGUUUUCGGGCUCCCUGAAAGUAAUACCCGGGUAUUAGGUUUUGGGGCUAUGGUAAGGUUUAAGUUUUUUGGCGUUAGGGUUAAAAUCACUGUCCAAAACCUUUGUAGGAACUCUUUUCCAACCUUUUGGAGUUAGUUAGACCAAAAAAUAUGAAAAAAGAAAAAAAUAUUAUUGGGGGUUUUCGGGCUUCCUGAAGGUAAUACCCAGGUAUUAGGUUUUGGGACUGGGGAAAGGUUUAAGUUUUUUGGCGUUAGGGUUAAAAUCACUGUCCAAAACCUUUGUAGGAACUCUUUUCCAACCUUUUGGAGUUAGUUAGACCAAAAAAUAUGAAAAAAGAAAAAAAUAUUAUUGGGGGUUUUCGGGCUCCUGAAAGUAAUACCCGGGUAUUAGGUUUUGGGGCUAUGGUAAGGUUUAAGUUUUUUGGCGUUAGGGUUAAAAUCACUGUCCAAAACCUUUGUAGGAACUCUUUUCCAACCUUUUGGAGUUAGUUAGACCAAAAAAUAUGAAAAAGAAAAAAAUAUUAUUGGGGGUUUUCGGGCUUCCUGAAAGUAAUACCCGUGUAUUAGGUUUUGGGACUAGGGAAAGGUUGAAGGGUUUUGGCAUUAGGGUUAAAAUCACUGUCCAAAACCUUUGUAGGAACUCUUUUCCAACCUUUUGGAGUUAGUUAGACCAAAAAAAAAUGAAAUAUUAAAAAAAAUAUAUUUGGGGUGUUCAGGCUUCCUAAAAGUAAUACCCGGGUAUUAGGUUAUGGGGCUAUGGUAAGGUUUAAGGUUUUUGGCGUUAGGGUUAAAAUCACUGUCCAAAACCUUUGUAGGAACUCUUUUCCAACCUUUUGGAGUUAGUUAGACCAAAAAAAAAUGAAAAAUGAAAAAAAAAUAUUUGGGGUUUACGGGCUUCCUGAAUGUAAUACCCGGGUAUUAGAUUUUAAGGCUAGGGAAAGGUUUAAGUUUUUUGGCGUUAGGGUUAAAAUCACUGUCCAAAACCUUUGUAGGAACUCUUUUCCAACCUUUUGGAGUUAGUUAGACCAAAAAAUGAAAAAAGAAAAAAAUAUUAUUGGGGGUUUUCGGGCUUCCUGAAUGUAAUACCCGGGUAUUAGAUUUUAAGGCUAGGGAAAGGUUUAAGUUUUUUGGCGUUAGGGUUAAAAUCACUGUCCAAAACCUUUGUAGGAACUCUUUUCCAACCUUUUGGAGUUAGUUAGACCAAAAAUAUGAAAAAAGAAAAAAAUAUUAUUGGGGGUUUUCGGGCUCCCUGAAAGUAAUACCCGGGUAUUAGGUUUUGGGGCUAUGGUAAGGUUUAAGUUUUUUGGCGUUAGGGUUAAAAUCACUGUCCAAAACCUUUGUAGGAACUCUUUUCCAACCUUUUGGAGUUAGUUAGACCAAAAAAUAUGAAAAAAAAAAAAAUAUUAUUGGGGGUUUUCGGGCUUCCUGAAGGUAAUACCCAGGUAUUAGGUUUUGGGACUGGGGAAAGGUUUAAGUUUUUUGGCGUUAGGGUUAAAAUCACUGUCCAAAACCUUUGUAGGAACUCUUUUCCAACCUUUUGGAGUUAGUUAGACCAAAAAAAAAAGAAAAAUGAAAAAAAAUAUUUGGGGUGUUCAGGCUUCCUAAAAGUAAUACCCGGGUAUUAGGUUAUGGGGCUAUGGUAAGGUUUAACGUUUUGGCGUUAGGGUUAAAAUCACUGUCCAAAACCUUUGUAGGAACUCUUUAACAACCUUUUGGAUUUAGUUAGACCAAAAAAAAAAUGAAAAAUUAAAAAAAAUAUAUUUGGGGUGUUCAGGCUUCCUAAAAGUAAUACCCGGGUAUUAGGUUAUGGGGCUAUGGUAAGGUUUAAGGUUUUUGGCGUUAGGGUUAAAAUCACUGUCCAAAACCUUUGUAGGAACUCUUUUUCAACCUUUUGGAGUUAGUUAGACCAAAAAAAAAAUGAAAAAAAAAAAAAAAUAUUUGGGGUUUACGGGCUUCCUGAAUGUAAUACCCGGGUAUUAGAUUUUAAGGCCAGGGAAAGGUUUAAGUUUUUUGGCGUUAGGGUUAAAAUCACUGUCCAAAACCUUUGUAGGAACUCUUUUCCAACCUUUUGGAGUUAGUUAGACCAAAAAAUAUGAAAAAAGAAAAAAAUAUUAUUGGGGGUUUUCGGGCUCCCUGAAAGUAAUACCCGGGUAUUAGGUUUUGGGGCUAUGGUAAGGUUUAAGUUUUUUGGCGUUAGGGUUAAAAUCACUGUCCAAAACCUUUGUAGGAACUCUUUUCCAACCUUUUGGAGUUAGUUAGACCAAAAAAUAUGAAAAAAGAAAAAAAUAUUAUUGGGGGUUUUCGGGCUUCCUGAAGGUAAUACCCGGGUAUUAGGUUUUGGGGCUGGGGAAAGGUUUAAGUUUUUUGGCGUUAGGGUUAAAAUCACUGUCCAAAACCUUUGUAGGAACUCUUUUCCAACCUUUUGGAGUUAGUUAGACCAAAAAAUAUGAAAAAAGAAAAAAAUAUUAUUGGGGGUUUUCGGGCUCCCUGAAAGUAAUACCCGGGUAUUAGGUUUUGGGGCUAUGGUAAGGUUUAAGUUUUUUGGCGUUAGGGUUAAAAUCACUGUCCAAAACCUUUGUAGGAACUCUUUUCCAACCUUUUGGAGUUAGUUAGACCAAAAAAUAUGAAAAAAGAAAAAAAUAUUAUUGGGGGUUUUCGGGCUUCCUGAAGGUAAUACCCAGGUAUUAGGUUUGGGACUGGGGAAAGGUUUAAGGUUUUUGGCGUUAGGGUUAAAAUCACUGUCCAAAACCUUUGUAGGAACUCUUUUCCAACCUUUUGGAGUUAGUUAGACCAAAAAAAAAGAAAAAUGAAAAAAAAAUAUUUGGGGUGUUCAGGCUUCCUAAAAGUAAUACCUGGGUAUUAGGUUAUAGGGCUAUGGUAAGGUUUAAGGUUUUUGGCGUUAGGGUUAAAAUCACUGUCCAAAACCUUUGUAGGAACUCUUUUCCAACCUUUUGGAGUUGGUUACACCAAAAAAAAUGUAAAAUGAAAAAAAAAAAUAUUUGGGGUGUUCGGGCUUCCUGAAUGUAAUACCCGGGUAUUAGAUUUUAAGGCCAGGGUAAGGUUUAAGUUUUUUGGCGUUAGGGUUAAAAUCACUGUCCAAAACCUUUGUAGGAACUCUUUUCCAACCUUUUGGAGUUAGUUAGACCAAAAAAAAAGAAAAAUGAAAAAAAAAUAUUUGGGGUGUUCAGGCUUCCUAAAAGUAAUACCCAGGUAUUAGGUUUUGGGACUGGGGAAAGGUUUAAGGUUUUUGGCGUUAGGGUUAAAAUCACUGUCCAAAACCUUUGUAGGAACUCUUUUCCAACCUUUUGGAGUUAGUUAGACCAAAAAAAAAAGAAAAAUGAAAAAAAAAUAUUUGGGGAGUUCAGGCUUCCUAAAAGUAAUACCCAGGUAUUAGGUUUUGUGGCUAGGGUAAGGUUUAAGUUUUUUGGCGUUAGGGUUAAAAUCACUGUCCAAAACCUUUGUAGGAACUCUUUUCCAACCUUUUGGAGUUAGUUAGACCAAAAAAUAUGAAAAAAGAAAAAAAUAUAUUUGGGGUUUUCGGGCUUCCUGAAUGUAAUACCCGGGUAUUAGAUUUUAAGGCUAGGGUAAGGUUUAAGUUUUUUGGCGUUAGGGUUAAAAUCACUGUCCAAAACCUUUGUAGGAACUCUUUUCCAACCUUUUGGAGUUAGUUAAACCAAAAAAAAAAAGAAAAAUGAAAAAAUAUAUAUUUGGGGUUUUCGGGCUUCCUGAAUGUAAUACCCGGGUAUUAGAUCUUAAGGCUAGGGUAAAGUUUAAGUUUUUGGGCGUUAGGGUUAAAAUCACUGUCCAAAACCUUUGUAGGAACUCUUUUCCAACCUUUUGGAGUUGGUUACACCAACAAAAAUGUAAAAUGUACAAAAAAAUAUUUGGGGUGUUCGGGCUUCCUGAAGGUAAUACCCGGGUAUUAGAUUUUAAGUCUAGGGUAAGGUUUAAGUUUUUUGGCGUUAGGGUUAAAAUCACUGUCCAAAACCUUUGUAGGAACUCUUUUCCAACCUUUUGGAGUUAGUUAGACCAAAAAGUAUGAAAAAAGAAAAAAAUAUUAUUGGGGUUUUCGGGCUUCCUGAAGUAAUACCCGGGUAUUAGGUUUUGGGCUGGGAAAGGUUUAAGGUUUUUGGCGUUAGGGUUAAAAUCACUGUCCAAAACCUUUGUAGGAACUCUUUUCCAACCUUUUGGAGUUAGUUAGACCAAAAAAAAAAUGAAAAAUGAAAAAAAAAAUAUUUGGGGUUUUCGGGGUUCCUGAAUGUAAUACCCGGGUAUUAGGAUUUUGGGCUAGGGUAAGGUUUAAGUUUUUUGGCGUUAGGGUUAAAAUCACUGUCCAAAACCUUUGUAGGAACUCUUUUCCAACCUUUUGGAGUUGGUUACACCAACAAAAAUGUAAAAUGAAGAAAAAAAUAUUUGGGGUGUUCAGGCUUCCUGAAUGUAAUACCCGGGUAUUAGAUUUCUUGGCUAGGGUAAGGUUUAAGGUUUUUGGCGUUAGGGUUAAAAUCACUGUCCAAAACCUUUGUAGGAACUCUUUUCCAACCUUUUGGAGUUAGUUAGACCAAAAAAUAUGAAAAAAGAAAAAAAUAUUACUGGGGGUUUUCGGGCUCCCUGAAAGUAAUACCCGGGUAUUAGGUUUUGGGGCUAUGGUAAGGUUUAAGUUUUUUGGCGUUAGGGUUAAAAUCACUGUCCAAAACCUUUGUAGGAACUCUUUUCCAACCUUUUGGAGUUAGUUAGACCAAAAAAUAUGAAAAAAGAAAAAAAUAUUAUUGGGGGUUUUCGGGCUUCCUGAAGGUAAUACCCAGGUAUUAGGUUUUGGGACUGGGGAAAGGUUUAAGGUUUUUGGCGUUAGGGUUAAAAUCACUGUCCAAAACCUUUGUAGGAACUCUUUUCCAACCUUUUGGAGUUAGUUAGACCAAAAAAAAAAAAAGGAAAAUGAAAAAAAAAUAUUUGGGGUGUUCAGGCUUCCUGAAAGUAAUACGUAUUAGGUUAUGGGGCUAUGGUCAGGUUUAAGGUUUUUGGCGUUAGGGUUAAAAUCACUGUCCAAAACCUUUGUAGGAACUCUUUUUCAACCUUUUGGAGUUGGUUACACCAACAAAAAUGUAAAAUGAAGAAAAAAAUAUUUGGGGUGUUCAGGCUUCCUGAAGGUAAUACCCGGGUAUUAGAUUUUAAGGCUAGGGUAAGGUUUAAGGUUUUUGGCGUUAGGGUUAAAAUCACUGUCCAAAACCUUUGUAGGAACUCUUUUCCAACCUUUUGGAGUUAGUUAGACCAAAAAAUAUGAAAAAAGAAAAAAAUAUUAUUGGGGGUUUUCGGGCUCCCUGAAAGUAAUACCCGGGUAUUAGGUUUUGGGGCUAUGGUAAGGUUUAAGUUUUUUGGCGUUAGGGUUAAAAUCACUGUCCAAAACCUUUGUAGGAACUCUUUUCCAACCUUUUGGAGUUAGUUAGACCAAAAAAAAAAGGAAAAUGAAAAAAAAAUAUUUGGGGUGUUCAGGCUUCCUGAAAGUAAUACGUAUUAGGUUAUGGGGCUAUGGUCAGGUUUAACGUUUUGGCGUUAGGUUUAAAAUCACUGUCCAAAACCUUUGUAGGAACUCUUUUCCAACCUUUUGGAGUUAGUUAGACCAAAAAAAAAUGAAAAAUGAAAAAAAAAUAUUUGGGGUUUACGGGCUUCCUGAAUGUAAUACCCGGGUAUUAGAUUUUAAGGCCAGGGAAAGGUUUAAGGUUUUUGGCGUUAGGGUUAAAAUCACUGUCCAAAACCUUUGUAGGAACUCUUUUCCAACCUUUUGGAGUUAGUUAGACCAAAAAAUAUGAAAAAAGAAAAAAUAUUAUUGGGGGUUUUCGGGCUUCCUGAAGGUAAUACCCAGGUAUUAGGUUUUGGGACUGGGGAAAGGUUUAAGGUUUUUGGCGUUAGGGUUAAAAUCACUGUCCAAAACCUUUGUAGGAACUCUUUUCCAACCUUUUGGAGUUAGUUAGACCAAAAAAAAAAAGAAAAAUGAAAAAAAAUAUUUGGGGUGUUCAGGCUUCCUAAAAGUAAUACCUGGGUAUUAGGUUAUAGGGCUAUGGUAAGGUUUAAGGUUUUUGGCGUUAGGGUUAAAAUCACUGUCCAAAACCUUUGUAGGAACUCUUUUCCAACCUUUUGGAGUUAGUUAGACCAAAAAAUAUGAAAAAAGAAAAAAAUAUUUGGGGUUUUCGGGCUUCCUGAAGGUAAUACCCAGGUAUUAGGUUUGGGCUAGGGAAAGGUUUAAGGUUUUUGGCGUUAGGGUUAAAAUCACUGUCCAAAACCUUUGUAGGAACUCUUUUCCAACCUUUUGGAGUUAGUUAGACCAAAAAAAAAAAGAAAAAUGAAAAAAAAUAUUUGGGGUGUUCAGGCUUCCUAAAAGUAAUACCCGGGUAUUAGGUUUUGGGGCUAUGGUAAGGUUUAAGUUUUUUGGCGUUAGGGUUAAAAUCACUGUCCAAAACCUUUGUAGGAACUCUUUUCCAACCUUUUGGAGUUAGUUAGACCAAAAAAAAAAUGUAAAAUGAAAAAAAAAAUAUUUGGGGUGUUCGGGCUUCCUGAAUGUAAUACCCGGGUAUUAGAUUUUAAGGCUAGGGUAAGGUUUAAGUUUUUUGGCGUUAGGGUUAAAAUCACUGUCCAAAACCUUUGUAGGAACUCUUUUCCAACCUUUUGGAGUUAGUUAGACCAAAAAAAAAAGGAAAAUGAAAAAAAAAUAUUUGGGGUGUUCAGGCUUCCUGAAAGUAAUACGUAUUAGGUUAUGGGGCUAUGGUCAGGUUUAACGUUUUGGCGUUAGGUUUAAAAUCACUGUCCAAAACCUUUGUAGGAACUCUUUUUCAACCUUUUAGAGUUAGUUAGACCAAAAAAAAAAUGAAAAAUGAAAAAAAAAAUAUUUGGGGUUUACGGGCUUCCUGAAUGUAAUACCCGGGUAUUAGAUUUUAAGGCCAGGGAAAGGUUUAAGGUUUUUGGCGUUAGGGUUAAAAUCACUGUCCAAAACCUUUGUAGGAACUCUUUUCCAACCUUUUGGAGUUAGUUAGACCAAAAAAUAUGAAAAAAGAAAAAAAUAUUAUUGGGGGUUUUCGGGCUCCCUGAAAGUAAUACCCGGGUAUUAGGUUUUGGGGCUAUGGUAAGGUUUAAGUUUUUUGGCGUUAGGGUUAAAAUCACUGUCCAAAACCUUUGUAGGAACUCUUUUCCAACCUUUUGGAGUUAGUUAGACCAAAAAAUAUGAAAAAAGAAAAAAAUAUUAUUGGGGGUUUUCGGGCUUCCUGAAGGUAAUACCCAGGUAUUAGGUUUUGGGACUGGGGAAAGGUUUAAGGUUUUUGGCGUUAGGGUUAAAAUCACUGUCCAAAACCUUUGUAGGAACUCUUUUCCAACCUUUUGGAGUUAGUUAGACCAAAAAAAAAAAGAAAAAUGAACAAAAAAUAUUUGGGGUGUUCAGGCUUCCUAAAAGUAAUACCUGGGUAUUAGGUUAUAGGGCUAUGGUAAGGUUUAAGGUUUUUGGCGUUAGGGUUAAAAUCACUGUCCAAAACCUUUGUAGGAACUCUUUUCCAACCUUUUGGAGUUAGUUAGACCAAAAAAUAUGAAAAAAGAAAAAAAUAUUUGGGGUUUUCGGGCUUCCUGAAGGUAAUACCCAGGUAUUAGGUUUGGGACUAGGGAAAGGUUUAAGGUUUUUGGCGUUAGGGUUAAAAUCACUGUCCAAAACCUUUGUAGGAAAUCUUUUCCAACCUUUUGGAGUUAGUUAGACCAAAAAAAAAAGAAAAAUGAAAAAAAAUAUUUGGGGUGUUCAGGCUUCCUAAAAGUAAUACCCGGGUAUUAGGUUUUGGGGCUAUGGUAAGGUUUAAGUUUUUUGGCGUUAGGGUUAAAAUCACUGUCCAAAACCUUUGUAGGAACUCUUUUCCAACCUUUUGGAGUUGGUUACACCAAAAAAAAUGUAAAAUGAAAAAAAAAAAUAUUUGGGGUGUUCGGGCUUCCUGAAUGUAAUACCCGGGUAUUAGAUUUUAAGGCCAGGGUAAGGUUUAAGUUUUUUGGCAUUAGGGUUAAAAUCACUGUCCAAAACCUUUGUAGGAACUCUUUUCCAACCUUUUGGAGUUAGUUAGACCAAAAAAAAAAGGAAAAUGAAAAAAAAAUAUUUGGGGUGUUCAGGCUUCCUGAAAGUAAUACGUAUUAGGUUAUGGGGCUAUGGUCAGGUUUAACGUUUUGGCGUUAGGUUUAAAAUCACUGUCCAAAACCUUUGUAGGAACUCUUUUUCAACCUUUUGGAGUUAGUUAGACCAAAAAAAAAAUGAAAAAUGAAAAAAAAAAUAUUUGGGGUUUACGGGCUUCCUGAAUGUAAUACCCGGGUAUUAGAUUUUAAGGCUAGGGAAAGGUUUAAGUUUUUUGGCAUUAGGGUUAAAAUCACUGUCCAAAACCUUUGUAGGAACUCUUUUCCAACCUUUUGGAGUUAGUUACACCAAAAAAUAUGAAAAAAGAAAAAAAUAUUAUUGGGGGUUUUCGGGCUCCCUGAAAGUAAUACCCGGGUAUUAGGUUUUGGGGCUAUGGUAAGGUUUAAGUUUUUUGGCGUUAGGGUUAAAAUCACUGUCCAAAACCUUUGUAGGAACUCUUUUCCAACCUUUUGGAGUUAGUUAGACCAAAAAAUAUGAAAAAAGAAAAAAAUAUUUGGGGUUUUCGGGCUUCCUGAAGGUAAUACCCAGGUAUUAGGUUUGGGACUAGGGAAAGGUUUAAGGUUUUUGGCGUUAGGGUUAAAAUCACUGUCCAAAACCUUUGUAGGAACUCUUUUCCAACCUUUUGGAGUUAGUUAAACCAAAAAAAAAAAGAAAAAUGAAAAAAUAUAUAUUUGGGGUUUUCGGGCUCCCUGAAUGUAAUACCCGGGUAUUAGAUCUUAAGGCUAGGGUAAAGUUUAAGUUUUUGGGCGUUAGGGUUAAAAUCACUGUCCAAAACCUUUGUAGGAACUCUUUUCCAACCUUUUGGAGUUAGUUAGACCAAAAAAUAUGAAAAAAGAAAAAAAUAUUAUUGGGGGUUUUCGGGCUCCCUGAAAGUAAUACCCGGGUAUUAGGUUUUGGGGCUAUGGUAAGGUUUAAGUUUUUUGGCGUUAGGGUUAAAAUCACUGUCCAAAACCUUUGUAGGAACUCUUUUCCAACCUUUUGGAGUUAGUUAGACCAAAAGAUAUGAAAAAAGAAAAAAAGUAUUAUUGGGGGUUUUCGGGCUCCCUGAAAGUAAUACCCGUGUAUUAGGUUUUGGGACUAGGGAAAGGUUUAAGGGUUUUGGCGUUAGGGUUAAAAUCACUGUCCAAAACCUUUGUAGGAACUCUUUUCCAACCUUUUGGAGUUAGUUAGACCAAAAAAAAAAAUGAAAAAUUAAAAAAAAUAUAUUUGGGGUGUUCAGGCUUCCUAAAAGUAAUACCCGGGUAUUAGGUUAUGGGGCUAUGGUAAGGUUUAAGGUUUUUGGCGUUAGGGUUAAAAUCACUGUCCAAAACCUUUGUAGGAACACUUUUUCAACCUUUUAGAAUUAGUUAGACCAAAAAAAAAAAUGAAAAAUGAAAAAAAAAUAUUUGGGGUUUACGGGCUUCCUGAAUGUAAUACCCGGGUAUUAGAUUUUAAGGCCAGGGAAAGGUUUAAGUUUUUUGGCGUUAGGGUUAAAAUCACUGUCCAAAACCUUUGUAGGAACUCUUUUCCAACCUUUUGGAGUUAGUUAGACCAAAAAGUAUGAAAAAAGAAAAAAAUAUUAUUGGGGGUUUUCGGGCUCCCUGAAAGUAAUACCCGGGUAUUAGAUUUUAAGGCCAGGGAAAGGUUUAAGUUUUUUGGCGUUAGGGUUAAAAUCACUGUCCAAAACCUUUGUAGGAACUCUUUAACAACCUUUUGGAUUUAGUUAGACCAAAAAAAAAUGAAAAAUUAAAAAAAAUAUAUUUGGGGUGUUCAGGCUUCCUAAAAGUAAUACCCGGGUAUUAGGUUAUGGGGCUAUGGUAAGGUUUAAGGUUUUUGGCGUUAGGGUUAAAAUCACUGUCCAAAACCUUUGUAGGAACUCUUUUUCAACCUUUUGGAAUUAGACCAAAAAAAAAAUGAAAAAUGAAAAAAAAAAUAUUUGGGGUUUACGGGCUUCCUGAAUGUAAUACCCGGGUAUUAGAUUUUAAGGCCAGGGAAAGGUUUAAGUUUUUUGGCAUUAGGGUUAAAAUCACUGUCCAAAACCUUUGUAGGAACUCUUUUCCAACCUUUUGGAGUUAGUUACACCAAAAAAUAUGAAAAAAGAAAAAAAUAUUAUUGGGGGUUUUCGGGCUCCCUGAAAGUAAUACCCGGGUAUUAGGUUUUGGGGCUAUGGUAAGGUUUAAGUUUUUUGGCGUUAGGGUUAAAAUCACUGUCCAAAACCUUUGUAGGAACUCUUUUCCAACCUUUUGGAGUUAGUUAGACCAAAAAAUAUGAAAAAAAUAUUAUUGGGGGUUUUCGGGCUUCCUGAAGGUAAUACCCAGGUAUUAGGUUUUGGGACUGGGGAAAGGUUUAAGUUUUUUGGCGUUAGGGUUAAAAUCACUGUCCAAAACCUUUGUAGGAACUCUUUUCCAACCUUUUGGAGUUAGUUAGACCAAAAAAUAUGAAAAAAGAAAAAAAUAUUAUUGGGGGUUUUCGGGCUCCCUGAAAGUAAUACCCGGGUAUUAGGUUUUGGGGCUAUGGUAAGGUUUAAGUUUUUUGGCGUUAGGGUUAAAAUCACUGUCCAAAACCUUUGUAGGAACUCUUUUCCAACCUUUUGGAGUUAGUUAGACCAAAAAAUAUGAAAAAAGAAAAAAAUAUUAUUGGGGGUUUUCGGGCUUCCUGAAGGUAAUACCCAGGUAUUAGGUUUUGGGACUGGGGAAAGGUUUAAGGUUUUUGGCGUUAGGGUUAAAAUCACUGUCCAAAACCUUUGUAGGAACUCUUUUCCAACCUUUUGGAGUUAGUUUGACCAAAAAAAAAAGAAAAAUGAAAAAAAAAUAUUUGGGGAGUUCAGGCUUCCUAAAAGUAAUACCCAGGUAUUAGGUUUUGUGGCUAGGGUAAGGUUUAAGUUUUUUGGCAUAAGGGUUAAAAUCCCUGUCCAAAACCUUUGUAGGAACACUUUUCCAACCUUUUGGAAUUAGAUAAACCAAAAAAAUAUGAAAAAUGAAAAAAUAUAUAUUUGGGGUUUUCGGGCUUCCUGAAUGUAAUACCCGGGUAUUAGAUUUUAAGGCUAGGGUAAGGUUUAAGUUUUUUGGCGUUAGGGUUAAAAUCACUGUCCAAAACCUUUGUAGGAACUCUUUUCCAACCUUUUGGAGUUAGUUAAACCAAAAAAAAAAAGAAAAAUGAAAAAAUAUAUAUUUGGGGUUUUCGGGCUCCCUGAAUGUAAUACCCGGGUAUUAGAUCUUAAGGCUAGGGUAAAGUUUAAGUUUUUGGGCGUUAGGGUUAAAAUCACUGUCCAAAACCUUUGUAGGAACUCUUUUCCAACCUUUUGGAGUUGGUUACACCAACAAAAAUGUAAAAUGAACAAAAAAAUAUUUGGGGUGUUCGGGCUUCCUGAAGGUAAUACCCGGGUAUUAGGUUAUGGGGCUAUGGUAAGGUUUUAUUGUUUGGCGUUAGGUUUAAAAUCAAAAAAACAAACAAACAAACAAAAAAAAAAUCUCAAACCAAAAGUUCAAACAAGACACAAACUCAAGAUCAAAAAACACCACAAACUCAAGUUCAACCAACACCCAAAUCUCAAGUUUAACAAUUGCCACAACCUCUAGUUCAAAAACAACACAAACUCAAGUUCAAACACGACACAAACUCAGGUGCAAAAACACCACAAACUCAAGUUCAACAAUUGCCACCAACUAAAGUUCAGAGAAAAAUACAGACUCAAGUUCAACAAUUGCCACAAACUCAAGUUCAACAAACACCACAAUCUUAAGUUCAACAAAUUCCAAAAUUUCAAGUUCAACAAAUGACCUAAACUCACAUUUAACAAUUGCCAAAAACUUAAAAGUUAAAAAAGUGCCACAAACUGAAGUUCAAAAACACCACAAACUGAAGUGUGUGAGGACAUGCAAACCACCAGACUGCACCUGUCUCAGCAAUGGGCUGAAGUGCACAAACCUGUGCAAAUUACAAACUUGUGCCAACCAGUACAGUGAGGAAGAGCCCAUUGCACACCGGCAGAUUCAGAUGUAGAAGAAGAUACAGAUACUGAUGUCGAUUACUGAUGUUGAUUAAUAAGUGAUGACCAAAGGGAGCUAUGUUAGCAGACCCACUGUGACUCAGUGACAGAAUUAUGUGCUAAGCCAAAACUUGACAGUCAUAUUUGCCGUCACUGUUCCUUAUGGAAAGAAUAGGACUUUGAAUAGGAAUUGGAGUUUUUCUCAGAUGAUUGUAUAGAGUGUAUACAUCAGUAGAUCUUAUUUUGUUGCUAAUGUCUUCUUGCCCUGCACCAGCCAGGAUGAUUGUAUAUUGAGUGCCUACAUUUAAAAUAUGUCAGUGUCAUAUUAAAGUUGUGUUAUUAUAAUGCUAUUAGUCUGCAUUUAUUUUAUUUCUACUUCUAAGUCAAAAAAUAUCCUUAAUUUAGACCUUGAUUUAGACCUGACAAUUAGCUAAUUGAAGCUUAUAUAUACACACCUGUAUUAGAUAAAUUACUUGAAAUACUACUUAGGGGGUUAAUACAAGUCUCUAUGGCUAGCCAAUAGUUCAAACACACCUAAAUGAGAGGUUAAAAUGAAAGAAAGCUCAUUUUGAAGGAAGGCGAUUUUUCGUUUUUGAACAGCUGCACUCUAUUACUUCAAUGAGUAAUAACUACAAUAAAGCUACCAGUUACCAAGGUCUAUCAAAUAAAAACUUAUUGUAGGGAUGUAUAAAAAAAUCACAACUAGAAUUUGCCCACCUAGGUGGUACCGAUAUGUGAAAUUUUGGUUCUUGGCUCAAGGACUAAAACUCAAGUUCAACAAACACAACAAGUCAAGUUCAAGCAACACCCGAUCCUCAAGUUCAACAAUUUCCACAAACUUAAGUUAAAAAACACCAGAACCUCUAGUUCAAAAAACAUGAUAAACUCAAGUUCAAAUAUGCCACAAACUCAAGUUCAAUGAACACCACAAACUCAAGUUCAACCACCACCCGAUUCUCAAGUUUAACAAUUGCCACAACCUCAAGGUUAAAAAAAACACAAACUCAAGUUCAAACACUUCACAAACUCAAGUUCAAAAACACCACACAAACUCAAGUUCAACAAACACCACAAACUCAAGUUAAACAAACACAACAAGUCAAGUUCAAGCAACACCCGAUCCUCAAGUUCAACAAUUUCCACAAACUUAAGUUAGAAAACACCAGAACCUCAAGUUCAAAAAACAUAAUAAACUCAAGUUCAAAUAUGCCACAAACUCAAGUUCAAUGAACACCACAAACUCAAGUUCAACGAACGCCACAAACAAAAGUUCAACAAUUGCCACCAACUAAAGUUCACUAAAAACCAUAGACUCAAGUUCAACAAUUGCCAAAAAAUCAAGCCAAACAAACUCAAGUUCAUAAGUUGCCACAAACUUCAAACACGACACAAACUCAAGUUCAAAAACACCACAAACUCAAGUUCAAAAACGACACAAACUCAAGUUCAACAAACAAAACUAACUAUUUAGAGUAAUUUUGAGGUGUUUGAGAGGUUUUUUGUAGACUUACCCUAGUGGUCCUAAGUUGUUGUUGAUGUGAGGGGUUUCUUUUCCAGUAGUCUAAAAUCUGUUGGAGGGGGGAAAAGGUUCCAGCUGUCCAUCCGCGGUGGCAGCGGUGUGUCUGAAGUCCGGGGUCCUCGGCGGGGGAAAGAAGAUCAGCGCUCCGCGGGAAGGUUUGCUGGGACUCGGUGCUGUCGGCGGGUCGAAGCUCGGUGGUGGGCGGCUAGGAGUGAUGGAGGUGCGGCGUCUUCUUUCAGUUGGCGGCGCGGCGUCUUCCUCGAUGGUGGUCCGUCUUCUUGGUCCAGAGGUCAGUGCUUUGUCUCAAUAACUGGAACAGGAAUUGCUCUUUAGUGCACGGCACUUAAAUGAGCUUUUCACACGAGAUGACAUCCCCAGAGUUGGGCUCGAGUCAUGGUUUGUGCUGUUCCUCUCAGACAUGGUUGUGUUCUCUUCACGAUGUUUGUAUUCCAGAAUGGAUGUCUCUUGGUUGUAUUUUAAACCUUCAAGUUGUUUUAAGUUAAUUUUAAUGUAGUUUAUUGUUUUAAAUUGAGUUUUGCUACAUUCAAUUUGUAUGCAAUCGCAAGGGAUUGUGGGUAUUUUAGUUCUGAGGGAUGAGAGCCUAAGGAAUCAAUCUUCCUGUUACAGCAAAGGAUUGUGGGUAAAACCGUGAGGGAGUGAGGUACUUCCUUUCUGGCAUGAGAGCCUUGGGAAUCAAUCUCCCUGUUGCAGCAAAGGAUUGUGGGUAAAACCGUGAGUGAGGGAGGUACAUUUUUCCUGGCAUGAGAACCUCAGGAGUCAGUCCUUCCUAAGAAAAAAAGAGGGGAGGGGGGAAGAAAAACAAAAGCACAGGAACCCUAAAAUAAAAUAAAAUAAUAUAAAGCAAUGAAAAAAUAAAAGAAGAACAAAAGUGGAUUGAAAAGGGAAAGGGGAAGAAAAAAGGAAAAAAAGGAAAUGUCAAGAGCAAAUAGCAAAAAUCAGAAGUGAGCUUAAAAACAGAGAACAGUUCCCUAAAAGAAAGACAGAAAUGUAAAUCUGAUCAAUGUCCUAAGGGAAAAUCUGUACGUGUGUGUGUGUGUUCUUUUUUGCUAACUUAGUCUGGUGUCACUGAUGGUCAGUUAUUGAUAAGUAUUUAUUAUUUAAAUUUUUGAUGAAGUUGUUUGUAGUGGGGUUAGCUGGCUAAUUUUAGAGUGUUAAAAAAGAUGUUAGAGGGGGAGGAUUUAGGGGGCACGGCGGUUCCCCUUCAGGUCUCUCUUAAUCCUCCAUAUAGGUGACCCAACAGGGGUUACCCCCCGGCCGGGGUAGGUCGAGGCUGAAGAUCACCUAUUUGUCCUCUGUGAAGGUGAAAAUAAAGGGGCAGGGGAGGGAAUAAGAAAGGGGGGGUGUUAGAGAGAGGGGGAGAGAUGAGGGAGAGAGAUGAGGGAGAGAGAGAGAGAGAGAGAGAGAGAGAGAGAGAGAGAGAGAGGUGUGUGUGUGUGUGUGUGUGUGUGUGUGUGUGUGUGUGUGAGAGAGAGAGAGAGAGAGAGAGAGAGAGAGAAGGGAAGAGGGAGAGGGGGGUUUAAGGGAGAGGUGGAGAUGGUGGAAAAUAAAGAUUGGUGAGGGGGAUGUUGACAUAUCACAUGUUCCCAGUCAAGUCUCCAAGCUCAAUCUGUGUGUAAAAAUUAUGUGUUGGUAGGAAGUUUAAUGACUCCACUCAAUUGGUAUGCCAUGCUGUCUAUCUUUUAGACUAUGUGUUUGUAAAUUAUGUAUAUAUUAUAUUACAGGGCUAGGGUAAGGUUAAAGGUUUUUGGCGUUAGGGUUAAAAUCACUGUCCAAAACCUUUGUAGGAACUCUUUUCCAACCUUUUGGAGUAAGCUAGACCAAAAAAAAAAAAAGAAAAAUGAAAAAAAAAAUGUUUGGGGUGUGAAGGCUUCCUUAAGUUAAUACCCGGGUAUAAGGUUCGGGAAUAGGGUAAGGUUGAAGGUUUUUGGCGUUAGGGUUAAAAUCACUGUCCAAAACCUUUAUAGGAACAUGUUUCAGACCUUUUGGAGUUGGUUACACCAAAAAAAAUGUAAAAAGAAAAAAAAAUAAUUGGGGUGUUCGGGCUUCCUGAAGGUAAUACCCAGGUAUUAGGUUAUGGGGCUAUGGUAAGGUUUAAGGUUUUUGGCGUUAGGGUUAAAAUCACUGUCCAAAACCUUUUUAGGAACAUGUUUCAGAACUUUUGGAGUUAGAUAGACCAAAAAAAAAAAGAAAAAAAAAAAAAAGUAUUUUGGGUGUUAAGGCCUCCUGAAGGUUAUACAGGUAUAAUAUUAGGUUAUGGGGCUUGGGUAAGGUUUAAAGUUUUUGGCGUUAGGGUUAAAAUCACUGUCCAAAACCUUUGUAGGAACUCUUUAACAACCUUUUGGAGUUAGCUAGACCAAAAAAAAUGAAAAAUGAAAAAAAAAAUGUUUGGGGUGUGAAGGCUUCCUUAAGUUAAUACCCGGGUGUUAGGUUCGGGAAUAGGGUAAGGUUGAAGGUUUUUGGCGUUAGGGUUAAAAUCACUGUCCAAAACCUUUUUAGGAACAUGUUUCAGACCUUUUGGAGUUGGUUACACCAAAAAAAAUGUAAAAUGAAAAAAAAAAUUUGGGGGGUUUUCGGGCUUCCUGAAGGUAAUACCCAGGUAUUAGGUUAUGGGGCUAUGGUAAGGUUUAAGGUUUUUGGCGUUAGGGUUAAAAUCACUGUCCAAAACCUUUUUAGGAACAUGUUUCAGACCUUUUGGAGUUAGUUAGACCAAAAAAAAAAAAGAAAAAAAAAAAGUAUUUUGGGUGUUCAGGACUCCUGAAGGUUAUACAGGUAUUAUAUUAGGUUAUGGGGCUUGGGUAAGGUUUAAGGUUUUUGGCAUUAGGGUUAAAAUCACUGUCCAAAACCUUUGUAGGAACUCUUUUCCAACCUUUUGGAGUUGGUUACACCAACAAAAAUGUAAAAUGAAAAAAAAUAUUUGGGGCUUUCGGGCUUCCUGAAGGUUAUACCUGGGAAUUAGAUUUUAUGGCUAGGGUAAGGUUUAAGUUUUUUUGGCCUUAGGGUUAAAAUCACUGUCCAAAACCUUUGUAGGAACUCUUUUCCAACCUUUUGGAGUCAGUUAGACCAAAAAAAAACGAAAAAUGAAAAAAAAAUAUUUGGGGUGUUCAGGCUUCCUAAAAGUAAUACCCGGGUAUUAGGUUAUGGGGCUAUGGUAAGGUUUAAGGUUUAUGGCAUUAGGGUUAAAAUCACUGUCCAAAACCUUUGUAGGAACUCUUUUCCAACCUUUUGGAGUUAGUUACACCAACAAAAAUGUAAAAUGAAAAAAAAAUAUUUGGGGUUUUCGGGCUUCCUGAAUGUAAUACCCGGGUAUUAGAUUUUAAGGCCAGGGAAAGGUUUAAGUUUUUUGGCGUUAGGGUUAAAAUCACUGUCCAAAACCUUUGUAGGAACUCUUUUCCAACCUUUUGGAGUUAGUUAGACCAAAAAAAAAAAGAAAAAUGAAAAAAAAAUAUUUGGGGUUUUCGGGCUUCCUGAAUGUAAUACCCGGGUAUUAGAUUUUAAGGCCAGGGAAAGGUUUAAGGUUUAUGGCGUUAGGGUUAAAAUCACUGUCCAAAACCUUUAUAGGAACUAUUUUCCAACCUUUUGGAGUUAGUUAGACCAAAAAAAAUGAAAAAUGAAAAAAAAAACAGAAAUGUAAAUCUGAUCAAUGUCCUAAGGGAAAAUCUGUACGUGUGUGUGUGUGUUCUUUUUUGCUAACUUAGUCUGGUGUCACUGAUGGUCAGUUAUUGAUAAGUAUUUAUUAUUUAAAUUUUUGAUGAAGUUGUUUGUAGUGGGGUUAGCUGGCUAAUUUUAGAGUGUUAAAAAAGAUGAUAGAGGGGGAGGAUUUAGGGGGCACGGCGGUUCCCCUUCAGGUCUCUCUUAAUCCUCCAUAUAGGUGACCCAACAGGGGUUACCCCCCGGCCGGGGUAGGCCGAGGCUGAAGAUCACCUAUUUGUCCUCUGUGAAGGUGAAAAUAAAGGGGCAGGGGAGGGAAUAAGAAAGGGGGGGUGUUAGAGAGAGGGGAGAGAUGAGGGAGAGAGAUGAGAGAGAGAGAGAGAGAGAGAGAGAGAGUGUGUGUGUGUGUGUGUGUGUGUGUGUGUGUGUGUGUGUGUGUGAGAGAGAGAGAGAGAGAGAGAGAGAAGGGAAGAGGGAGAGGGGGGUUUAAGGGAGAGGUGGAGAUGGUGGAAAAUAAAGAUUGGUGAGGGGGAUGUUGACAUAUCACAUGUUCCCAGUCAAGUCUCCAAGCUCAAUCUGUGUGUAAAAAUUAUGUGUUGGUAGGAAGUUUAAUGACUCCACUCAAUUGGUAUGCCAUGCUGUCUAUCUUUUAGACUAUGUGUUUGUAAAUUAUGUAUAUAUUAUAUUACAGGGCUAGGGUAAGGUUAAAGGUUUUUGGCGUUAGGGUUAAAAUCACUGUCCAAAACCUUUGUAGGAACUCUUUUCCAACCUUUUGGAGUAAGCUAGACCAAAAAAAAAAAAAAGAAAAAUGAAAAAAAAAAUGUUUGGGGUGUGAAGGCUUCCUUAAGUUAAUACCCGGGUAUAAGGUUCGGGAAUAGGGUAAGGUUGAAGGUUUUUGGCGUUAGGGUUAAAAUCACUGUCCAAAACCUUUAUAGGAACAUGUUUCAGACCUUUUGGAGUUAGUUAGACCAAAAAAAAUGUAAAAAGAAGAAAAAAUAAUUGGGGUGUUCGGGCUUCCUGAAGGUAAUACCCAGGUAUUAGGUUAUGGGGCUAUGGUAAGGUUUAAGGUUUUUGGCGUUAGGGUUAAAAUCACUGUCCAAAACCUUUUUAGGAACAUGUUUCAGAACUUUUGGAGUUAGAUAGACCAAAAAAAAAAAGAAAAAAAAAAAAAAGUAUUUUGGGUGUUAAGGCCUCCUGAAGGUUAUACAGGUAUAAUAUUAGGUUAUGGGGCUUGGGUAAGGUUUAAGGUUUUUGGCGUUAGGGUUAAAAUCACUGUCCAAAACCUUUGUAGGAACUCUUUUCCAACCUUUUGGAGUUAGCUAGACCAAAAAAAAAAAAAUGAAAAAUGAAAAAAAAAAUGUUUGGGGUGUGAAGGCUUCCUUAAGUUAAUACCCGGGUGUUAGGUUCGGGAAUAGGGUAAGGUUGAAGGUUUUUGGCGUUAGGGUUAAAAUCACUGUCCAAAACCUUUUUAGGAACAUGUUUCAGACCUUUUGGAGUUGGUUACACCAAAAAAAAUGUAAAAUGAAAAAAAAAAUUUGGGUGGUUUUCGGGCUUCCUGAAGGUAAUACCCAGGUAUUAGGUUAUGGGGCUAUGGUAAGGUUUAAGGUUUUUGGCGUUAGGGUUAAAAUCACUGUCCAAAACCUUUUUAGGAACAUGUUUCAGACCUUUUGGAGUUAGUUAGACCAAAAAAAAAAAGAAAAAAAAAAAAGUAUUUUGGGUGUUCAGGACUCCUGAAGGUUAUACAGGUAUUAUAUUAGGUUAUGGGGCUUGGGUAAGGUUUAAGGUUUAUGGCGUUAGGGUUAAAAUCACUGUCCAAAACCUUUGUAGGAACUCUUUUCCAACCUUUUGGAGUUAGUUAGACCAAAAAAAAAAUGAAAAAUGAAAAAAGAAAUAUUUGGGGUUUUCGGGCUUCCUGAAUGUAAUACCCGGGUAUUAGGUUUUGUGGCUAGGGUAAGGUUUAAGGUUUUUGGCAUUAGGGUUAAAAUCACUGUCCAAAACCUUUGUAGGAACUCUUUUCCAACCUUUUGGAGUUAGUUAGACCAAAAAAAAAUGAAAAAUGAAAAAAGAAAUAUUUGGGGUUUUCGGGCUUCCUGAAUGUAAUACCCGGGUAUUAGGUUAUGGGGCUAUGGUAAGGUUUAAGGUUUUUGGCAUUAGGUUUAAAAUCACUGUCCAAAACCUUUGUAGGAACUCUUUCCCAACCUUUUGGAGUUAGUUAGACCAAAAAAAAAUGAAAAAUGAAAAAAAAAUGUUUGGGGUUUUCGGGCUUCCUGAAUGUAAUACCCGGGUAUUAGAUUUUAAGGCUAGGGUAAGGUUUAAGUUUUAUUGCGUUAGGGUUAAAAUCACUGUCCAAAACCUUUGUAGGAACUCUUUUCCAACCUUUUGGAGUUAGUUAGACCAAAAAAAAAUGAAAAAUGAAAAAAAAACAUAUUUGGGGUGUUCAGGCUUCCUAAAAGUAAUACCCCGGUAUUAGGUUAUGGGGCUAUGGUAAGGUUUAAGGUUUUUGGCGUUAGUGUUAAAAUCACUGUCCAAAACCUUUGUAGGAACUCUUUUCCAACCUUUUGGAGUUAGUUAGACCAAAAAAAAAUGAAAAAUGAAAAAAAAAUGUUUGGGGUUUUCGGGCUUCCUGAAUGUAAUACCCGGGUAUUAGAUUUUAAGGCUAGGGUAAGGUUUAAGUUUUAUGGCGUUAGGGUUAAAAUCACUGUCCAAAACAUUUGUAGGAACUCUUUUCCAACUGUUACGGCUGUGUGUUUGUUUUGCAUGUGUUUUCCUCUUUUGUCUCUCCAUAGCUGCCCAGGUGAAAUCACUUGAGUGACAAUCAGACUCACCUGGUGCUGGGAGUCUAAAAGCCCAGAGCUGCCUGCAGUCUGGAGAGGCAUUUGGUGGGGAACUGCUGCCCUGCUGCCUCUCAUUUGUGUUGUGGGUGCUUUGUGUUUAGUUUGCAAUUUUGUUGUUUUUUCACAAUAAAUCACGUGUUAAACUUUUGAAGGUGUUUUGGUUAAUUUGAUGGGUAAAAAGUUGAGGAUUGUUGUUAGCCCCAUAGGGCCGCCUAAGGGUGGGGUGUAACACCAACCUUUUGGAGUUGGUUACACCAACAAAAAUGUAAAAUGAAAAAAAAAUAUUAGGGGUGUUCGGGCUUCCUGAAGGUAAUACCCGGGUAUUAGGUUAUGGGGCUAUGGUAAGGUUUAAUGUUUUUGGCAUUAGGGUUAAAAUCACUGUCCAAAACCUUUGUAGGAAGUCUUUUCCAACCUUUUGGAGUUGGUUACACCAACAAAAAUGUAAAAUGAAAAAAAAAAUAUUUGGGGUGUUCAGGCUUCCUGAAGGUAAUACCCGGGUAUUAGGUUAUGGGGCUAUGGUAAGGUUUAAGCUUAAUGGCAUUAGGUUUAAAAUCACUGUCCAAAAUCUUUGUAGGAACUCUUUUCCAACCUUUUGGAGUUAGUUAGACCAAAAAAAAAAUGAAAAAUGAAAAAAAAAAUAUUUGGGGUGUUCAGGCUUCCUAAAAGUAAUACCCGAGUAUUAGGUUAUGGGGCUAUGGUAAGGUUUAAGGUUUUUGGCAUUAGGUUUAAAAUCACUGUCCAAAACCUUUGUAGGAACUCUUUCCCAACCUUUUGGAGUUAGUUAGACCAAAAAAAAAUGAAAAAUGAAAAAAAAAUGUUUGGGGUUUUCGGGCUUCCUGAAUGUAAUACCCGGGUAUUAGAUUCUAAGGCUAGGGUAAGGUUUAAGUUUUAUUGCGUUAGGGUUAAAAUCACUGUCCAAAACCUUUGUAGGAACUCUUUUCCAACCUUUUGGAGUUAGUUAGACCAAAAAAAAGAAAAAUAAAAAAAAAAUAUUUGGGGUGUUCAGGCUUCCUAAAAGUAAUACCCGGGUAUUAGGUUAUGGGGCUAUGGUAAGGUUUAAGGUUUUUGGCGUUAGGGUUAAAAUCACUGUCCAAAACCUUUGUAGGAACUCUUUUCCAACCUUUUGGAGUUAGUUAGACCAAAAAAAAAUAUGAAAAAAGAAAAAAAAAUAUUAGGGGUGUUCAGGCUUCCUAAAAGUAAUACCCGGGUAUUAGGUUAUGGGGCUAUGGUAAGGUUUAAGGUUUUUGGCGUUAGGGUUAAAAUCACUGUCCAAAACCUUUGUAGGAACUCUUUUCCAACCUUUUGGAGUUAGUUAGACCAAAAAAAAAUGAAAAAUGAAAAAAAAAUAUUUGGGGUUUUCGGGCUUCCUGAAUGUAAUACCCGGGUAUUAGGUUAUGGGGCUAUGGUAAGGUUUAAGGUUUUUGGCGUUAGGGUUAAAAUCACUGUCCAAAACCUUUGUAGGAACUCUUUUCCAACCUUUUGGAGUUAGUUAGACCAAAAAAAAUGAAAAAUUGAAAAAAAAUAUUUGGGGUUUUCGGGCUUCCUGAAUGUAAUACCCGGGUAUUAGGUUUUAAGGCUAGGGUAAGGUUUAAGUUUUAUUGCGUUAGGGUUAAAAUCACUGUCCAAAACCUUUGUAGGAACUCUUUUCCAACCUUUUGGAGUUAGUUAGACCAAAAAAAAAUGAAAAAUGAAAAAAAAACAUAUUUGGGGUGUUCAGGCUUCCUAAAAGUAAUACCCCGGUAUUAGGUUAUGGGGCUAUGGUAAGGUUUAAGGUUUUUGGCGUUAGUGUUAAAAUCACUGUCCAAAACCUUUGUAGGAACUCUUUUCCAACCUUUUGGAGUUAGUUAGACCAAAAAAAAAUGAAAAAUGAAAAAAAAAUGUUUGGGGUUUUCGGGCUUCCUGAAUGUAAUACCCGGGUAUUAGAUUUUAAGGCUAGGGUAAGGUUUAAGUUUUAUGGCGUUAGGGUUAAAAUCACUGUCCAAAACAUUUGUAGGAACUCUUUUCCAACUGUUACGGCUGUGUGUUUGUUUUGCAUGUGUUUUCCUCUUUUGUCUCUCCAUAGCUGCCCAGGUGAAAUCACUUGAGUGACAAUCAGACUCACCUGGUGCUGGGAGUCUAAAAGCCCAGAGCUGCCUGCAGUCUGGAGAGGCAUUUGGUGGGGAACUGCUGCCCUGCUGCCUCUCAUUUGUGUUGUGGGUGCUUUGUGUUUAGUUUGCAAUUUUGUUGUUUUUUCACAAUAAAUCACGUGUUAAACUUUUGAAGGUGUUUUGGUUAAUUUGAUGGGUAAAAAGUUGAGGAUUGUUGUUAGCCCCAUAGGGCCGCC